CCUACGGGGAGCAGCAGUAGGGAAUCUUUCACAAUGGGCGAAAGCCUGAUGGAGCAACGCCGCGUGCAGGAUGAAGGCCUUCGGGUUGUAAACUGCUUUUAUAAGCGAGAAAUAUGAUGGUAACUUAUGAAUAAGGAUCGGCUAACUACGUGCCAGCAGCCGCGGUCAUACGUAGGAUCCGAGCAUUAUCCGGAGUGACUGGGUGUAAAGAGUUGCGUAGGUGGCAUAAUAAGUAGCUAGUGAAAUCUGGUGGCUCAACCAUUCAGACUAUUAGCUAAACUGUUAAGCUCGAGACCGUUAGGGGUAACUGGAAUUUCUAGUGUAGGAGUGAAAUCCGUAGAUAUUAGAAGGAACACCAAUAGCGUAGGCAGGUUGCUGGGACGGUUCUGACACUAAGGCACGAAAGCGUAGGGAGCAAACGGGAUUAGAUACCCGUGUAGUC
rnacentral:rRNA from 1 species